rnacentral:rRNA from 1 species
GACGAACGCUGGCGGCGUGCUUAACACAUGCAAGUCGAACGGGUCUGCCUUGUUUUUUGCGGGGUGGGUUAGUGGCGAACGGGUGAGUAACACGUGAGUAACCUGCCCCUCACUUCUGGAUAACCGCUUGAAAGGGUGGCUAAUACGGGGUGUUCUGGCUGUGCCGCAUGGUGUGGCUGGGAAAGAUUCACUUUUGUGGUGUUUUGGUGGGGGAUGGGCUCGCGGCCUAUCAGCUUGUUGGUGGGGUGAUGGCCUGCCAAGGCUUUGACGGGUAGCCGGCCUGAGAGGGUGGGCGGUCACACUGGGACUGAGAUACGGCCCAGACUCCUGCGGGAGGCAGCAGUGGGGGGUAUUGCACAAUGGGCGGAAGCCUGAUGCAGCGACGUCGCGUGAGGGAUGGAGGCCUUCGGGUUGUGAACCUCUUUCGCCGGUGAAGAAGGUCCUGUUCUUUGUGGUGGGGCUGACGUAGCCGGG